UAAGGAAUAUUGGUCAAUGGACGCAAGUCUGAACCAGCCAUGCCGCGUGGAGGAUGAAGGCCCUCUGGGUUGUAAACUUCUUUUAUGGGGGACGAAAUCACUUAUUCUUAAGUGUCUGACGGUACCCCAGGAAUAAGCACCGGCUAACUCCGUGCCAGCAGCCGCGGUAAUACGGAGGGUGCAAGCGUUAUCCGGAUUCACUGGGUUUAAAGGGUGCGUAGGAGGGCAGGAAAGUCAGUGGUGAAAUCCUAGGGCUUAACUCUAGAACUGCCGUUGAUACUACUUGUCUUGAAUAUCGUGGAGGCGAGCGGAAUAUGUCAUGUAGCGGUGAAAUGCUUAGAUAUGACAUAGAACACCAAUUGCGAAGGCAGCUCACUACACGAAUAUUGACUCUGAGGCACGAAAGCGUGGGGAUCAAACAGGAUUAGAUACCCUGGUAGUCCACGCCCUAAACUAUGGAUACUCGACAUACGCGAUACACUGUGUGUGUCUGAGCGAAAGCAUUAAGUAUCCCCACCUGGGGAAGUACGACCGCAAGGUUGAAACUUAAAGGAAUUGACGGGGUCAUAGCUGUUUCCUG
rnacentral:rRNA from 1 species